rnacentral:sRNA from 1 species
UCCGUUUGCGCAGGGAUGAUAUGAGGU